CCUACGGGUGGCUGCAGUGGGGAAUUUUGCGCAAUGGGCGAAAGCCUGACGCAGCAACGCCGCGUGGGUGAUGAAGGUCUUCGGAUCGUAAAACCCUGUCGUUGGGGACGAAGGUGGGGGCGUUAAUAGCGUUUCUGCUUGACGGUACCCGGAGAGGAAGCCCCGGCUAACUCUGUGCCAGCAGCCGCGGUAAUACAGAGGGGGCAAGGGUGGCUCGGAAUUAUCGGGCGCAAAGGGUGAGUUGAGAUGUGUAAUCCCCGAGCUCAACUUGGGAACUGCAUCUGAGACUGGAAGGCUAGAGUACUGGAGAGGGUGGUGGAAUUCCUCGUGUAGCGGUGAAAUGCGUAGAGAUGAGGAGGAACACCAGUGGCGAAGGCGGCCACCUGGACAGUAACUGACGCUGAGGCGCGAAAGUGUGGGUAGCAAACAGGAUUAGAUACCCCAGUAGUC
rnacentral:rRNA from 1 species